rnacentral:piRNA from 5 species
GGCUGGGGGAUGUAGCUCAGUGGU